rnacentral:rRNA from 1 species
UACGUAGGGGGCUAGCGUUGUCCGGAAUUACUGGGCGUAAAGAGCUCGUAGGUGGUUUGUCGCGUUGUUCGUGAAAUGCCACAGCUUAACUGUGGGCGUGCGGGCGAUACGGGCAGACUGGAGUACUGCAGGGGAGACUGGAAUUCCUGGUGUAGCGGUGGAAUGCGCAGAUAUCAGGAAGAACACCAACGGCGAAGGCAGCUCGCUGGGACGGUACUGACGCUGAGACGCGAAAGCGUGGGGAGCGAACAGG